rnacentral:rRNA from 1 species
AUUGAACGCUGGCGGAAUGCUUUACACAUGCAAGUCGAACGGCAGCACGGGGCAACCUGGUGGCGAGUGGCGAACGGGUGAGUAAUACAUCGGAACGUGCCCAAUCGUGGGGGAUAACGUAGCGAAAGCUACGCUAAUACCGCAUACGAUCUACGGAUGAAAGCGGGGGAUCGCAAGACCUCGCGCGAAUGGAGCGGCCGAUGGCAGAUUAGGUAGUUGGUGGGGUAAAGGCUCACCAAGCCUGCGAUCUGUAGCUGGUCUGAGAGGACGACCAGCCACACUGGAACUGAGACACGGUCCAGACUCCUACGGGAGGCAGCAGUGGGGAAUUUUGGACAAUGGGCGCAAGCCUGAUCCAGCCAUUCCGCGUGCAGGAUGAAGGCCCUCGGGUUGUAAAGCUCUUUCGGCCGGGAAGAAAUCGCAUGGGCCAAUACCCUGUGUGGAUGACGGUACCGGAAUAAGAAGCACCGGCUAACUACGUGCCAGCAGCCGCGGUAA